AGCGAGUGCGCUCCGCCGCUGCGGGCGGCCGAUCACUAUUAUUAUUAUUAUUAUUAUUAUUAUUAUUAUUAUUAUUAUAAGGUUUGACUUUUUGCGCAAGAAGUUGAUGCAGAGUACAACAAUUUAAUUUAAACGUAAAAAUACACCUCUUGCAGUGCAGCGGAAAUGGGAUUAAGGGUGCCGCGGACUAUAUAUUAUUUUGACGGUUGUAGGAGUGGACAGCUGGUACUUAAAAGUGAUUUAGCCUGACAUCCUGCUAUACCCCUGCACCUCUCGACUGAUUAUUCCUGACCAAAACGUUAUGACAUGCACACACAGUAUCCGCAGACUCGAAGCCAUUAUAGAGUGGAAAUAACUCCUAUAAGUGCCGAGCCCUAAAUGUGUAACGAUCGACGGCUGUAGUACGUGGUAAUGUCCGACGCCAAUGAACGCCUUGAUUUUGACAGGGUCUGCAAAACAACCUACAUCUAGGCGUGUGGAAUCUCGAAAACGGCGUACUCGUUAAGUACUAUAUCAUUCUAUGACUUCAUACUAUGAAAACAAAAUGGCGGAGUCUGGACAGCCGUUCUUAAUGUCGAAGAAUUUAAAUAAUUGAGUACAUUUAAAUAUAAUUCUGAUUUUUAGCAAUAUUAAGAAUGAAAUCUACGAAAAUAUAAACAAUAUUUUUUCACAUUCUUGUACGAUCGGACCAUAUUAUAUUUUAUUGACAAUAAACCGAUUAA